rnacentral:rRNA from 1 species
CCGCUGGAACUUAAGCAUAUCAAUAAGCGGAGGAAAAGAAACCAACCGGGAUUGCCUCAGUAACGGCGAGUGAAGCGGCAAGAGCUCAAAUUUGAAAGCUGGCUCCUUCGGAGUCCGCAUUGUAAUUUGCAGAGGAUGCUUUGGGUGCGGCCCCCGUCUAAGUGCCCUGGAACGGGCCGUCAGAGAGGGUGAGAAUCCCGUCUUGGGCGGGGUGUCCGUGCCCGUGUAAAGCUCCUUCGACGAGUCGAGUUGUUUGGGAAUGCAGCUCUAAAUGGGUGGUAAAUUUCAUCUAAAGCUAAAUACUGGCCGGAGACCGAUAGCGCACAAGUAGAGUGAUCGAAAGAUGAAAAGCACUUUGAAAAGAGAGUUAAACAGCACGUGAAAUUGUUGAAAGGGAAGCGCUUGCGACCAGACUCGCCCGCGGGGUUCAGCCGGCAUUCGUGCCGGUGUACUUCCCCGUGGGCGGGCCAGCGUCGGUUUGGGCGGCCGGUCAAAGGCCCCUGGAAUGUAGUACCCUCCGGGGUACCUUAUAGCCAGGGGUGCAAUGCGGCCAGCCUGGACCGAGGAACGCGCUUCGGCACGGACGCUGCAUAAUG